UUCUGACUCAGUUCAUGUAAACAUCCUACACUCAGCUGUUUUCAAUUGCAGCAGAGGCUGAGAGAAGGUUGUUUACUUGAACCGGCUGGA
rnacentral:pre_miRNA from 1 species